rnacentral:rRNA from 1 species
GGGUUGUGAGGUUAAGCGACUAAGCGUACACGGUGGAUGCCCUGGCAGUCAGAGGCGAUGAAGGGCGUGCUAAUCUGCGAUAAGCGCCGGUAAGGUGAUAUGAACCGUUAUAACCGGCGAUACCCGAAUGGGGAAACCCAGUGUGACUCGUCACACUAUCAUUAACUGAAUCCAUAGGUUAAUGAGGCGAACCGGGGGAACUGAAACAUCUAAGUACCCCGAGGAAAAGAAAUCAACCGAGAUUCCCCCAGUAGCGGCGAGCGAACGGGGAGGAGCCCAGAGCCUGAAUCAGCAUGUGUGUUAGUGGAAGCGUCUGGAAAGGCGCGCGAUACAGGGUGACAGCCCCGUACACAAAAGCGCAUGUGCUGUGAGCUCGAUGAGUAGGGCGGGACACGUGGUAUCCUGUCUGAAUAUGGGGGGACCAUCCUCCAAGGCUAAAUACUCCUGACUGACCGAUAGUGAACCAGUACCGUGAGGGAAAGGCGAAAAGAACCCCGGCGAGGGGAGUGAAAAAGAACCUGAAACCGUGUACGUACAAGCAGUGGGAGCACCCUUUGGGGUGUGACUGCGUACCUUUUGUAUAAUGGGUCAGCGACUUAUAUUCUGUAGCAAGGUUAACCGAAUAGGGGAGCCGGAGGGAAACCGAGUCUUAAUUGGGCGUUAAGUUGCAGGGUAU